AACGGGGUCUAAUACCGGAUACUGAUCCUCGCAGGCAUCUGCGAGGUUCGAAAGCUCCGGCGGUGCAGGAUGAGCCCGCGGCCUAUCAGCUAGUUGGUGAGGUAACGGCUCACCAAGGCGACGACGGGUAGCCGGCCUGAGAGGGCGACCGGCCACACUGGGACUGAGACACGGCCCAGACUCCUACGGGAGGCAGCAGUGGGGAAUAUUGCACAAUGGGCGAAAGCCUGAUGCAGCGACGCCGCGUGAGGGAUGACGGCCUUCGGGUUGUAAACCUCUUUCAGCAGGGAAGAAGCGAAAGUGACGGUACCUGCAGAAGAAGCGCCGGCUAACUACGUGCCAGCAGCCGCGGUAAUACGUAGGGCGCAAGCGUUGUCCGGAAUUAUUGGGCGUAAAGAGCUCGUAGGCGGCUUGUCACGUCGGUUGUGAAAGCCCGGGGCUUAACCCCGGGUCUGCAGUCGAUACGGGCAGGCUAGAGUUCGGUAGGGGAGAUCGGAAUU
rnacentral:rRNA from 1 species